GGGCUCUUGGACUCAGGGUAUGAUUCUUGCUUUGGGUGCGAGAGGUCUCAGGUUCAAAUCCCGGCCAGUCCA